rnacentral:miRNA from 19 species
AUUUUUUUAGGUUUUGAUUUU